CUGCCAGUCUACUACACUAAACACUAAUGACGUGGACUAGAGGUUCAUUAUGGGGUUCUACUGCCAGUCUACUACACUAAACACUAAUGACGUGGACUAGAGGUUCAUUAUGGGGUUCUACUGCCAGUCUACUACACUAAUGACGUGGACUAGAGGUUCAUUAUGGGGUUCUACUGCCAGUCUACUACACUAAACACUAAUGACGUGGACUAGAGGUUCAUUAUGGGGUUCUACUGCCAGUCUACUACACUAAACACUAAUGACGUGGACUAGAGGUUCAUUAUGGGGUUCUACUGCCAGUCUACUACACUAAUGACGUGGACUAGAGGUUCAUUAUGGGGUUCUACUGCCAGUCUACUACACUAAACACUAAUGACGUGGACUAGAGGUUCAUUAUGGGGUUCUACUGCCAGUCUACUACACUAAACACUAAUGACGUGGACUAGAGGUUCAUUAUGGGGUUCUACUGCCAGUCUACUACACUAAACACUAAUGACGUGGACUAGAGGUUCAUUAUGGGGUUCUACUGCCAGUCUACUACACUAAACACUAAUGACGUGGACUAGAGGUUCAUUAUGGGGUUCUACUGCCAGUCUACU